UAUAGCGUCUACUGGAGGGUGUACGACAACAUCCAUGUGUGUUUGACACGAAGAGGAUGGACUAUAGGGAUUCGCAAAGAAAGAGGAACGCCUGGGAAAUAAUAAGACAACAAUGUGGCCUCGCCACAGUUGAAGAAUGUCAUAAGCUGUGGAAGCGCCUAAGAGAUCGGUACUCCAGAGAGAUCAAGGCAAUGGAGGUGAUGAAACGAAGUGGAAAUGCGUUUGUUUCCAGGCGUGCCUGGGAAUUUUUCGAGGCUAUGGCCUUUUAUAAAGACUGUGGACGUCCGAGAAAGACAACAUGCAAUCUGGAUGGCUCAUCUACACUCGAAGGGAAUCCUGGAAACGACGAUUCCAGCGGCACUGCAG